GGGUCAGUAGGUUGGUCGUGCCACCGGUACGUACUGGUCUCACUGAUUCCUCCUUCCUGAAGAACCGUAAUGCCAUUAAUUUGGUGUUGCGGGGAAACAGGACUGUUACUUUGAAAAAAUUAUUGUGUUUAAAGCAAGAUAACGCUUGAAUACAUUAGCAUGGAAUAAUGAAAUAGGACGAUCGAUCCUAUUUUGUUGGUUUCUAGGAUUGACGUA
rnacentral:rRNA from 1 species